UUGCCAGCCGCCGCGGUUAUACGAGAGGCUCAAGUUGACGGACAUCGGCGUAAAGAGUGGUUAGGAAGUCUUUCAAACUAAAGCCGAACGCCCUCAGAACUGUUAUACGUACCCGAGGGUAAGAAGCCCCCCUACGAAAGUGGCUUUAUAUCUCCGACCCCACGAAAGCUGCGAAACAAACUGGGAUUAGAUACCCCACUAUGCCCAGCCCUAAACUUUGAUAGCCCACUACACCCGCUAUCCGCCCGGGUACUACGAGCACUAGCUUAAAACCCAAAGGACUUGGCGG
rnacentral:rRNA from 1 species